rnacentral:lncRNA from 1 species
GUCGGUGAGGUCACCGGACUUGCUCUCGUGGUUCCUGCAGCUCUUCUGCAAUUCUCUGAGAUAACUCCAGCAUCCUUCCAGUGAAACCUCAUUUUGGUUGUCCAAAAUGACUAAUUGACAAAGAGAAGGAGAGAGUAAGAGCAGAGAGCGUGGACUGCAGAGUCAGAAUGCCUGGUUCAAAUUGUGGAUCCAGCAAGUCACAGAUGAGGCCGCCAUGGCAGAGGAACUAUCAGCCUGGAUCCCAGGGCAGAGGCCCCUGGCAACUUGUGCCGGAUGGAAUAUAGCAUGAGUGAGAAACCUUUGUUGUUUUAACCACUGAGAUUUUGGAAAUGUUUGUUACCACCGCAUAAGCUAGCCUACCCUGAAUGACUCUCCAUGUGGCGAAGUGCAUAACAUCUCAUUUGUCAGUUUCUCCUUUUGGCAAAUGGAGA